rnacentral:rRNA from 1 species
CCUACGGGUGGCAGCAGUGAGGAAUAUUGGUCAAUGGGCGGAAGCCUGAACCAGCCAAGUAGCGUGCAGGAUGACGGCCCUACGGGUUGUAAACUGCUUUUAUACGGGAAUAACGCGCCUUACGUGUAGGGCUUUGCAUGUACCGUAUGAAUAAGGACCGGCUAAUUCCGUGCCAGCAGCCGCGGUAAUACGGAAGGUCCGGGCGUUAUCCGGACUUAUUGGGGUUAAAGGGAGCGUAGGCCGGAUGUCAAGCGUGCUGUGAAAUGUUCGGGCUCAACCCGAGCCUUGCAGCGCGAACUGGCGUGCUUGAGUCCGCGGAAAGCAGGCGGAAUUCGGCGUGUAGGGGUGAAAUGCUUAGAGAUGACGAGGAACCCCGAUUGCGAAGGCAGCUUGCUGCAGCGGAACUGACGCUGAUGUUCGAAAGCGCGGGUAGCGAACAGGAUUAGAUACCCCUGUAGUC